UGGCUAGUUUUUUCUUUUAUUAAAAUUUUUUACUAUACUCUUAUUUUGGUGCGCUGCUCUAAAUAGUAAAAGGAAGAACUUUAAUGACAAAAGGAAGAAAUAACAAAAAAUAGUAUCCGUAUAGUGACCCACUACCUUAUUUAUUCCACAAUACAAUUACAUCAAAGUGACAGUAGUGAAUUAAUGAAGCCAUUAAUUAUGUUAUACAUUAUUAAUAUUCUGCAAUCCUAUGAGAUCAUACCACAAGGGAAGAAAAGGAGGAUAUACAUGAUGCAUCAUCAUCAAGAGAACAAGCCUAAUUCUUUCUGUGCAGUCAUCAUGAAUGGCCUCAACACCCAUCACUUGAAAAUACCAACCAAGUUUCUGAAUUAUUUGGACAAAAAGUUGAUGAGCAAUGCAACUCUAAUAGGCCCUUGUGGGGGCAAGUGGGAAGUGACCAUAAUCAAGAGAGAAAAUGGAGUUUACAUGGACCAUGGUUGGUCAAAGUUUCUACAAGAAAACCUAGUCAAGCAUGAGGAUUUCUUGGUUUUCACAUAUGAUGGAAAUAAUAACCAUUUCAAGGUCCAAAUAUUUUGUAAAAAUGGAUGUGAAGCUCCAAAACCUAAUGUGGGAAAUGGUACAAAGAAGAGUAGACCAACAACUUCAUGCCCUCAGAUUUCACCUGAAAAUGAAAGAUCAUAAAAAGAAUCGAAUAUUGGUAUUGAGUUUGUCAGAUAUUAUGUUACUUCUGCUCAAUUGCUCCUGCUGUGAAGAUCUUCACCCUUGAAAGUUUCUUAAUU